CCUACGGGAGGCAGCAGUGGGGAAUAUUGCACAAUGGGGGAAACCCUGAUGCAGCGACGCCGCGUGAGUGAAGAAGUAAUUCGUUAUGUAAAGCUCUAUCAGCAGGGAAGAAAAUGACGGUACCCGAGCAAGAAGCCCCGGCUAACUACGUGCCAGCAGCCGCGGUAAUACGUAGGGGGCAAGCGUUAUCCGGAUUUACUGGGUGUUAAGGGAGCGUAGACGGCAGUGCAAGUCUGGAGUGAAAGGCGGGGGCCCAACCCCCGGACUGCUCUGGAAACUGGACGGCUGGAGUGCAGGAGAGGUAAGUGGAAUUCCUAGUGUAGCGGUGAAAUGCGUAGAUAUUAGGAGGAACACCAGUGGCGAAGGCGGCUUACUGGACUGUAACUGACGUUGAGGCUCGAAAGCGUGGGGAGCAAACAGGAUUAGAUACCCGUGUAGUC
rnacentral:rRNA from 1 species